rnacentral:rRNA from 1 species
GAUGAACGCUGGCGGCGUGCCUAACACAUGCAAGUCGAGCGAAGCACUCUACUCGAUUUCUUCGGGAUGAAGGUUUAGUGACUGAGCGGCGGACGGGUGAGUAACGCGUGGAUAACCUGCCUCAUACAGGGGGAUAACAGUUAGAAAUGACUGCUAAUACCGCAUAAUAUGCAGCCUCGCAUGAGACUGCUUUAGAAAACUCCGGUGGUGUGAGAUGGGCCCGCGUCUGAUUAGCCAGUUGGCAGGGUAACGGCCUACCAAAGCGACGAUCAGUAGCCGGCUUGAGAGAGUGAACGGCCACAUUGGGACUGAGACACGGCCCAA